rnacentral:rRNA from 1 species
CAGUAGCCGCGGUAAUACGAAGGGUGCAAGCGUUACUCGGAAUUACUGGGCGUAAAGCGUGCGUAGGUGGUGGUUUAAGUCCGUUGUGAAAGCCCUGGGCUCAACCUGGGAAUUGCAGUGGAUACUGGAUCACUAGAGUGUGGUAGAGGAUAGUGGAAUUUCCGGUGUAGCGGUGAAAUGCGUAGGGAUCGGGAGGAACAUCAGUGGCGAAGGCGGCCAUCUGGGACAACACUGACGCUGAGGCACGAAAGCGUGGGGAGCAAACAGGAUUAGAUACCCGAGUAGUCCCUGUCUCUUAUAC